CAUUACACCCUAAGGACAGCUGAGUUCAAAUUUCGUGAAAAUCGGCCUAAAAUUGACAGACAAAAUGGCCGCCCUUCGUUCUCAAAUAGCGUAAAAAUAUGGUAAAUCAAGGUUGUGGACCCUAUAUAGGUCACAAUUUUUAUCCGAUUUUGUUGAAACUUGAAAUGUAAGUUUAUAAACCAAAGAUCUCGGUUCCUUUCGAUAUUCGCGCAUAUCGGACUGUAACUUCCUGAAUUAUGGCGUUUUUAGCUUGUGGACCCUAUAGAGGUCAUAAUUUUUAUCUGAUUUAAAAAGCUGUAUUAUUAUAUCACCGUUACAUCCUAAGGAUUGCUGAGUUCGAAUUUCAUGUAAAUCGGCCCCAAAUUGACAGACAAAAUGGCUGCAGUCCGUUCUCAAAUAGCGUAAAAAAUAUGGUAUAUCAAGGUUGUGGACCCAAAGAAAUUUUUUAAAUCCCAUCACUGGUUGGAACAUAUAUCCUUAUUUCCUUUUUAUACGACCACAUUUAAAUGUGGUCGUAUAUUGUUGUCCCCCCUGUCCGACGUUCCGCCGUCUACAAUUGACGGAUCGCAGCUGUCACUCAAAAUAAUAAAUCAACCAAUCAAGAAACGCCUUCCCUUCUGCGUGAGCCGGCUAUAUUUUGUCCGUCAUUGUGCCCGUCAACUUAGCCCGCCAGACGUAAAUAAAGGUAUUUCCAGCAGACGUUAACCACCAACCCGUCAUAAUGGUAAAGAGAUGUGCUUGGGGUACGUGUAAUUCGGAUAGUAGAUACCCGGAGAGCCUGACAGGAGGGAUAACCUUUAUUCCUUUCCCAAAGCUUGGAAGAACACGCGAUAAAGCCAGACGAUGGAUACGUUUAUGCGGACGACCUUUCGAGCAGUUAAACGGAGAGAUACUGGGUGAGCGGAGAAAGGCCAAACAUCUGCUUGUGUGCACUAAGGUUAUUAUUUAUUUAUACUUUUAUGCAUAUAGACUUUCUUGCCUACUAUAUUUUUUUCCAAACAAAAUGAAAUACCUGUACUUGACUAUUGCAUCAUCAUUUUUGUGAUGUAGGCCUAUCACCACUGGCACUAGUACUGGUAGGCCUAUAGGCCUAGCCAUAGGGCUACCUAAUAGUAUUAUAUAAUUAUACUAUUUAUAUAGGCUAAUUAUAUGUGGCUGUUUUUAAAGUGUUUUGCCAAUGUGACAUUAAAAUGUCAGUUCAAACAUUUUUCUAAAUUUAUUCCGUUAUUGCACCAGGGCAGAAGUGACUGACAGCCAGUGCAGAAACCAUCUUUUUUAUAAAUUAUAAUCAUCAAUAUAGAAAUUGAUCUUAUUUCAAUUUGAAUCGUUUCUUGUUUGACUCCUACAGGACAGGCCUGCAGGCUGAAUAGUUCAGGCAUGAGCCUUAAUUUCAAGUUUGAAUAAAAAGUUUGAAAAAAAAAAAAAAAAAAAAAAAUAGACAAAAAGCAAAUCAAGUUGCCAAUUAACAGCUUGGUAAUAUCAAUAUGAAUGAUAUGGUCAUGUAAGUAUGUAAACUUACUUAUAUAAUAACAUUCUUCUUAUAUUUUGGCCUCCUUUUAGCCAGAUCCCAUCGCUGCAUUGCACUAUGAUCACAUUACUCAACCUAGACCACCACCCAAACCCAGAAGUAAUUAUAUUGAGAAACCUGCAGUGGUUGAAUCAAAGGUUUUAAGAGUUUCUAUAAAGUCAAAUAAUAAUAUUGAGUAUGAAAACUGUGAAGUAAAUGCAUUGAAUAAUAAAAUGGUACAGACAGAGAAUGCAGUUAAUACUGCCACAGGAUUUCAAUCGAUGGACAUCUUGGCCCUUGCUGCAGAAAAUAUGAAAAUGAAGGAAGAACAUGCAAAGUUAAUUCUGGAAAAUGAUAAUCUUAAAUGCGGUCAAGUUCAACAAGUAGAUAAAGGAACUAGUAUCGACCUAUCAACGCAAUGUUUUAGUUGUUCAACUUUAAAAAAAGAUUCAUUUCAAUAUUAUACUGGCUUUUCAUAUGACCGUUUUUAUAAUGUAUAUAAGGUUUUUGUACCAGCAGAUGAUUUACCAUUUGAAUUUUCUAAGAAUAUUAGCAGCUUAUUCGAUGUUUCUCUAGACGAUCAGCUUCUAUUAGUUUUAAUAAAAUUAAGACAGGACAUUGAUUUUAAACACAUAUCAGAUAUGUUUGGAAUUUCUUCCCAAGAUUGUAGCUGUUUAUUUUCUAAUUGGAUCAACUAUAUGUUUUACAGUCUUGACUCUCUUUUUAUAUGGCCAAACAGAGACAUUAUCAUUGAAAAUUUAAAACUGAUUAUCCCAACACAAUAGUCAUAAUUGAUGGAACAGAAAUAAAAAUUCAGAGACCAAGUUCCCUCCAUAGACAGAGGCAAUGUUAUUCAGACUACAAAUCUUGUACCACACUGACGGGUCUUGUUGGUGUUGACCCAAGGGGAUCUAUUGUGUUUGCAUCUAUGUUAUUUUCUGGAUCAAUCUCAGGCAAAGAAAUAAUGCACAGAAGUGGGUUUUUGGACACUUUCAAAUCAUUAUUACAAAGUGGUAAACUGCAAGAAGGUGAUGGAGUUAUGACCGAUAAAGGAUUUACGAUAGAAAAAGAAAUCAAUAAAGUCGGAUUAUGCUGAAAUAUUCCACCAUUUGUGCCAUGAUCCACCUCCCAAAUGAGUGCCCCAGCCGUUGCAGAGACAAUUAAAAUAGCUAAACAGGGUACAUGUUGAAAGAGCAAUAUGUCAGGUUAAACAGUUUAAACUCCUAAGCAAUAAAGUUAGUCUGAGCUUGUUCAGCUGUGUUAAUCAAAUAUGGCUUGUCUGUUGUGUUUUAACGAA